rnacentral:rRNA from 1 species
GACGAACGCUGGCGGCGUGCUUAACACAUGCAAGUCGAACGGAAAGGCCCCUUUGGGGGUACUCGAGUGGCGAACGGGUGAGUAACACGUGAGUAACCUGCCCUUGACUUCGGGAUAACUUCAGGGAACUGGGGCUAAUACCGGAUAGGAAUCCUUGCUGCAUGGUGGGGGUUGGAAAGCUUCGGCGGUUUUGGAUGGACUCGCGGCUUAUCAGCUUGUUGGUGGGGUAGUGGCUUACCAAGGCUUUGACGGGUAGCCGGCCUGAGAGGGCGACCGGCCACAUUGGGACUGAGAUACGGCCCAGACUCCUACGGGAGGCAGCAGUGGGGAAUAUUGCACAAUGGGCGGAAGCCUGAUGCAGCAACGCCGCGUGCGGGAUGACGGCCUUCGGGUUGUAAACCGCUUUCAGCAGGGGCGAAGCUUGUGGUGACGGUACCUGCAGAAGAAGCACCGGCUAACUACGUG